ACUUAACAUAAUAUUAUUUUAUCUAUUUUAAAAUUGAUGGUUAUAGAAACAAAGUUAAAUAAUUCCAAAGUUUAUAUAAAAAGAAAAUGGAAACAAACGAAAUGGAGCCUGAACAAGAAUGCACCGCCGGAGUUCGGUUGGUAGUGCUGAACCUGCCUGAAGACGAAGGCGACGGCAUCGGCUUCCGACUGACGAGGACCUUGUGGGAUCCAUAUCCUUGGGUA
rnacentral:lncRNA from 1 species